AUGGAGUUGGAGUGUUUAGAUGACCUUCCCAGGUGUCAGUACGUUCACUACCUCUGGAUGGGCAACUGGAACAGUGAUGGAGCGUCAGUCAGAUAUAGAAGUUUUCCCCCAGUAACAAAAACAAGAGUGAGCGAGAUGUGUCGUCGGCCCACAUCGUCCUCCUCAAGAUCCUCAAUACCAGUUCAACUACCAGUUCAACUGUUAAUUGAGCUGUGUAGCUUCAUCGGGUUUUAUUGUAAAAGUGUUUGCAUUGGAAGGGGGAGGGUGAAACAAGGCAGUUGUAAUCUGUAACGACACCUCAAGAUGCCACUAAAUCCUACACACUGGUCCUUUAAACUGCUGUAUUGUCCAACUGGCGUUAAUAUUAUACUAGUCACUGGAGUUGCAUCUGUUACAGUUCUUUGUUCAGUCUCUGAGCUUCCAACAGCUUCAAUAGCUGCUGGCUCCUCCAACUUGUUACCACUGAGUACCACCUCCUCAGCUUCCAGCCAUGCUUCAUUUUUUUCGUCGGCCUGACUCAGCUUAGUAGAGGCAGCCUGUUGGUUGCUGUUGCAUUUUUCUGGUCUCUGGUGAUGAGUGUGAAUCUGGUCCAAAUGUCUCCUCACUACUCUCCCAUCACCCAGCAUCACUUUGUAUGACACUGGUCCAGUCACCGACUCAAUAAUUCCCGGGAUCCACCAGGGUCCUAUACUGAAGUUCUGGGUCAGCACUGAGUCUCCUGUUUUGAACCAGCGUCCUUUUGCCUUUUUGUUGUGAUCUUUUAUUUGUCUUUCUUGUUUUCCUUCACCUACCUGCUUAAGUCUGGGUGGAUUGAAUCCAGUGUGCAAUGUAGCUUCCUCACGAGAAGCAGGUCUGCUGGGGACAGACCUAUUGUAGUGUGCGGUGUCACUCUGUAGCUAAAUAACACUCUGGCUACCUUAGCUGUCAGUGUGCCCUCUGGACAUUUCUUCACCAUUCUCUUGAAUGUUUGUACCCCUCUCUCUGCUAACCCGUUACAUGGUAGGGUGCAGAGGUCACAUGACGGAUACCAUUCUUUUUAAAGAAGUCUUUGAACUCUGUGCUGGUGAAACAAGUGCCAUUUUCAGACACCAACAACUCUGGCAGUCCAUGGUUACUGAAACUGGUACGCAGGCACUCAAUUAUGAUGGCUGAAGCGGCAGAGUUCACUGGAUACACAUCCAUCCAUUUUGAAUGUGCAUCGACGAGCACAACAUUUUUUUUUUUCCAUAAACGGUCCGGCAUAAUCCACAUGGAUACGGCUCCAAGGGUUUUCAGGCCAAUCCCAGGGGUGUAAUGGAGCUGGUGCAGGAAUGUUGCGGUGCUCUUGACAUGUUGUACAGCCCUUUACGGUAUCCUCCACCUCUUUGUCCUACUUUGGCCACCAUACAUAACUCCUAGCCAGUGCCUUCAUUCUGGACACUCCUGGGUGGCACUGAUGAAGCUGUCUCAACAUUUUCUUGACCUGUAUGUGGCACAAUCACUCUCGAGCCCCAUAACACACACCCAUUCUGGAUACUGAGUUCAUGUUUCCUCACCUCAUAGGGGGCAAAUUCCUCCCCUUUCAGUUUUGAUGACCAGCCAUUCCGUACCAUCUCCCGCACCCUUGAGAGUACUGGAUCUUUGUCUGUCCAUGCUUUCACUUGAUCAGCUGUCACCAGAGUGAUGUCAGAGCUCUCCAGCAUGAGAACUCUCUCUUCUGGCCUCUCCACUUCCACUUUUUCUGGAAAAGGAAGGCAAGCUCAAGGCAUCCGCAUUGCAGUGAUACUUCCCUUCUUUAUACACUAUUGUGUAUUCGUAGGCUCUCAAGGUUACCGCCCACCUUUGGAUUCUGGGUGAGGCCAUCUGUGGUAGGGCUCGCAUUUCACUGAAAAGUGACAACAAGGGCUUGCGAUCUGUCACUAUAGUGAAUUUCCGUCCAUAAAUGUACUUGUGGAAACGUUUUAUUCCAAACAUCACCGCAAGUCCUUCCUUAUCCAGUUGUGAAUAAUUCUUCUCAGCUGCGUUUAAUGUGAAGUGAAUCCUAUGGGUCUCUCAGUUCCAUCUGGCAUGUGAUGUGACAACAUGGCACCUACUCCAUACGGUGAUGCGUCACAUGACAGCACAAUGUCCUUCUCUGGAUCAUAAUGCACAAGCACUUCAGCGGACUGCAUCAUUUCUUUUGAUUUUUUAUUAGCAACUUGUUGUGCCUCUCCUCCUCCUCACUUUGUGUCUUUUUGUAGCAGUUUGUGCACUGGGGCAAGAACAGUUGACAGAUUGGGCAGGAACUUGUUAUAGUUAGUGUUAUAGUUUAACAGUCCCAGGUAUGCCUUCAACUCUGUCACAUUUGAAGGUGUGGGUGCCUCUUGGAUAGCUUGCACCUUCUCAUGGACUGGGUGCAGUCCUGUUGCAUCCACUUUAUGACCCAGAAACAUCACUUUGUCAUUCAUGAAUGAACAUUUGGCUCUUUUAAGUCGGAGACCAGCUUCCUGUAGCCGUUUCAGCACCAUGGUCAGAGUCUGCAGGUGCUCUUGGUCGUCUUUCCCUGUGAGGAGAAUGUCAUCCAGGAAGAUGGUCACACGAGGGAUGCCCUGUAGCAGUCCCUCUAUGGUCCGUUGGAAUAUCGCUGGCUUCUGAAGUUUCUUCCUGGACGUGAUGGAUCUGGGGUACUGAUCUCCACUGUAAACCUAGCCUCCUUAUCCAGUACCUGCCUACCAGAUUGGGGCCUGAACCUGCUACAGCUACCACAGGUAAGUCUUGCACUAGCCCUUUGUGCUGCACUUUAACCACAGCUGCUCCCAAGACUUUUACUCUAUGCCCUGUGUAUGUUCUGAGUCUCACCUGACAUUUGCGUAGCUUUGGUGCCUCUUUUCCCCCUAAGGUUUUGAACACCGAGUGGUUCAUUACUGUUACCCCACAACCUGAGUCCAUCUCAAACUGUGUCUCUGUCUCAUUAACUGUCAAUGUCUAUAUAAAUGGCUCUUCUGCUGGUACAUCAAGUUCAUCUAUUU
rnacentral:lncRNA from 15 species